AGAGAAGAGAGGAUAGAUGACGGUUAGGGUUUUCUAAAAACUCCCGUAUAUUAUAUAUAGGAAUAUAAUCCUAUUCCUAAUAAUAUAAUGACAAUUAAGGAUAAGUAUAAAUCUAGAUUAAAUUUAUCCUUUCCUUAAUUGGUUAGAUCGAUCAAAUCCUAAUUUGAUUCGAUCUUUAUAUUAAUUUGAUCAUAUCAAAUUAAUAAUGCAACAUUUGCACAUAAGUCCUCUUAUAAUUUACUAACUAUUAGUAAGUCCUCUCUUGUAACAUUUACACCUUAAUACCACUAAUUUGUAACAAUUACAAAUUAGUCCAAUUAUUAUUAUAUUGACAAUUAGGUCCUCCGGCGAUUCAAUAAUCGCGAUCUAGCUAUCCGAUCAAUCACAACCUCUUAUGUGUGUGACCCCAUAGGUUCUAUUCUAUCUGGUAGUGAGAUAUAUUUUGAUCACUAUCAACAAUAUCACUGAAACUUCUUUCAGUGGAUCGAAACAAUUCCAACUCAGCCCAAUGAGAAUUAUCGAUCAUCUAGAUAAUUCUCAUGAGUCUCAC
rnacentral:lncRNA from 1 species